AGCCCGGUUGCGGAUGGUCCGCGCCUGCACCAGGUAUAUAUUGUUGAUCAUCAUACACUGCAUGUGUUGCUGGUUCGACUCCAGCCCGGGCUA